GACGAACGCUGGCGGCGCGCCUAACACAUGCAAGUCGAACGGAACUGAGAGAAGCUUGCUUUUCUUAGCUUAGUGGCGGACGGGUGAGUAACGCGUGGGUAACCUGCCCUUGAGUGGGGGACAACAGUUGGAAACGGCUGCUAAUACCGCAUAAGCCCACGAUCCGGCAUCUGUGUGAGGGAAAAGGAUUUAUUCGCUUCAGUAUGGACUCGCCUCCAAUUAGCUAGGUGGUGAGGUAACGUCCCAACAAGGCGACGAUGGGUAGCCGGACUGAGAGGUUGAACGGAAACAUUGGGAGUGAGCAACGGUACAGAAUCCUACGGGAGGGAGCAGUGGGUGACAUAGCAACAUGGCGGAAAUGAUGAUGGUGCGACGACGGGUGGAGGAAGAAGGUAUUCGGAUAGUAAACCCCUGUUGUCAGGGAGGACAAUGACGGUACCUAACAAGAAAGCCACGGCUAACUACGUG
rnacentral:rRNA from 1 species